AUCUUUUGAGGGCCUCCUGUGAUCGACAGUGUGACUUCGGUAUUAUAGCCGGCAGCGAGCUUGGAAAAGUCGCUUUACGGCUCCUAAUCAGAACGUUCUUAAUCAGAACAUUGUAAGGUUCUUUUGAGCUAGACAAUAAGCCCUGUGCGGUCCUUCCUUGUAUCAACCGCAUAAGUAACGUCCCUUAACCAGCCGAACUCCUGUGUGGGCCGCUCAACGCCCAUAUCCUUCACGCCGGGCAAACUCAGUCGGUAAGGUAAAUCCCCUAUCGCUGUUGAUUGAUUGCCUGGAGGGAAUCUUGGCCCCUUUCGCGGGUUGCUAGUUGCUGCGUAUUACGACUUGCCCGUUCUUGUGCCGUCUAGUCAGCAUCCAAGCUACCUGCAGGACUUCGCCAAGCCACCCUGCGUCCUUAGCCGUAAUGCCUAAAUCAGGCUAGAAGACCAAGUAAGUUCGGUUUUGGGUUUACCUUAGGUGUUCUGUCGCCUAGGGGAUAUUUUCCCAGCACCCUUUUUGGUAGGUUAGGUAGGCUAUGGGUCACGCCAGCCGCACCUGUCAGCAGUGUUACGCACAGCUGCCUUACCAAUCAGCAAUUUUGGGCCAUUUCCUUACUGGUUCGAUUUGCUUGCGUAUUCGGUCACUCUUACAAUCGAUACUGUGUUACGCACAGCCGUCUGUUGAACACUCGAUCCCGAAUACUUGAUACGAUCAACUCAUUUUACCAUCUAGGCUUGGUCAGCCCAGCCUAACAUUAUUCUUAUAUAAGACUUUCAGCUCACCUGAACAGCAGGUUCGAGCUUUUCUGUGCUUAACCAACAUUUCGCGUACCUCUGGCCGAAUUAUACGGGGUCACACCAAUUCUUUUGCUUUCACCAGCCUCAAUUCGCUACUGCAGUUUACAUCGAGGCAGUGAUACCCCAGGCCACUCAGAGGACGCCCGGGGCGCAGUCCCUUUGGUUUUCACACCAACACUUUUCUUCGCCGUGGUGUUCGGGCCACUCCAGUCAGACACCGGCACCAUCGGCUGAUUCCACAUAUCUUCGAGCCUCUUGGCAAAUCUCCUGAACUCAUUUAUAUAGGUCUUUUGGCUCGCGGCGUUAGGGUCGACAUCGAGCCGCGACCGGUCAUUUGCAAUAUCCGCUACCUGUUAGCUGUGCAGCUAUAUCCGGACCUGGACCAGCUUCCCAGGCAAACUAUUGUUAUCAGCACAACAGGUGGUGCAAUUUCCUCUAUUUGAAUACGGAGACUUCUGUGCGCCUAAGCGCAAUGAUAUGAUGGAGUAAACGCUGCAAGCUUAUCGAGUCGGUACUCUACUCUUUCCCGACGCAGCGUUACCAAUUAUUCCAGCUGUUUUCACGCAGGUACUCUUUAUUUUGCAGCACCACACAACGCAGUUUUACAGCGACACCAGCUUUGGUGGGGCGGGGUUAGUACAUGCCAAAUACAGAAGUACGGAGGGCCCUAUGCCAACCACGGAUAUCACACCAGGACGAGACAGUCCGAGUUUUGGCCAUUCCAGCACAGAAUGCAGAGUCAGACAACAGGUACCAACUAAGCUUUAUUAAGACGGAUUACAGAAAAUAGACGACGAGAAAGACUAGAAAAAGUCGAGGUCGAAAUCGCUUGACGAGUGAUGUUAGAUUGCCUUUAUCUUUGGUUUUGCCUACAAUAGGACGCCGUCUCUUAUAUAUGAGAAGACAACAACAACGGCGACGCGCAGAUCGACAUUGCGGGCCAACGGCAUCCAUGCAAGUAAGUGAAGCGCGCGGGCACUGCGCGGGUGGUUGGGUUGGUUCGGCCUUGAGUAGAGGCACCUGAAUAGUGGGUUCUGUUGCUUGUCGGUGGGCGGGGGAAUUCUAGUUGGGUUCGCGAGGUCCGUAGGUCAGUAGGAAAGGUGGUUUUAUCUCGGCCUCCCGCAGUUGGCGAGGCUUUAGCUGGGAGUCCGUUUUGCCGGGAGUAGCUCUUGGUUGGCAAGAGGUUGCGAGGGGCUUGAUCGGCGCCCUUUGUCUUGAGUUCGCCUGAUUUACCCUGGUAUCCUCGCGAGUCGCCAGAUAGCCCGGUGCAGGAUACUUACCAACAUAACAGCUACCCUACGUGCGAAGGCGUAAAGAACAAUGAGCAAGACAGGCAUACAGGAUGGCGUCAAGAAAUCCGCAAGCAAACGAAAGUUGAAGUCAAGACGCGUGGACGGACCCGGAGCCUUCGGACGUGUGGACGGACUACAGCUACAUCAUAAAGCCGCCGCGGCGGUCNNN
rnacentral:lncRNA from 1 species